rfam:Gossypium raimondii Chr09_contig_690, whole genome shotgun sequence.
AAUUAGUCCUUUCAUCUAUUUAUAUUAUUAAAAACUAUUGUGAUUGAUGGAAUAACCAGACAAUGACAUGUGAUGUGCCAUAUGUACCUCAUGUUGAGGUAUAAAGACCAAUUUUUAAUAACAUAAUUAGAUAGAAUUUUUAAAA